rnacentral:rRNA from 1 species
CCCUUAGAUGUUCUGGGCCGCACGCGCGCUACACUGAUGCAUUCAACGAGUCUAAAACCUGCUCUGAUAGGGGUGGGUAAUCUUUUGAAUGUGCAUCGUGAUUGGGAUAGAUGAUUGCAAUUUUUCAUCUUCAACGAGGAAUGCCUAGUAAACGCAAGUCAUCAGCUUGCAUUGAUUACGUCCCUGCCCUUUGUACACACCGCCCGUCGCUCCUACCGAUUGAAUGUUCCGAUGAAUACCAUGGACUGAGAGUAUGAAUGGGUUCGCCUAUUUCUGCUUCUCGGGAAGUGGAGUAAAUCUUAACAUUUAGAGGAAGGAGAAGUCGUAACA